AUGGGUUGAACACUCGUCAGCUCGUGACGGGGAUUCACCGGGCUUGUAUAAUUGUGCUGGUGUCGUGAGCACCCCUUCACCGAGGCGAUUGAAAAUGCUCCUCUGCUCGGUGUCCGUUCUUUGAGGACGUCGGCAGAGAGAAAUCCAAAAGCAGAAUAGAUAAUGUAAAAACAUUAAAUAAAUGGGUACCUUGUAACCGUGUGCGUCCUUGCGCCGAGGCGACUGAAGAUGCUUCUCUGCUCAGACUCCGUUCUUUGGGG
rnacentral:lncRNA from 1 species